CGUAGUGAAAAAUAGUAGCAUCUAGCUGAAUAUGCACCGCUCGCUGACAUGCCUAUAACCGUUGGGAAAUGAACUUAUUACCUCUGUUUAAUUUAAUGGCAUAUUAAACCUGGUGCAGAUUGUUGACCGUGAUGUUUUGUUAUCAACAGUACGAUGGUGGCCAAAUGGGGUUUGACACAAGGGGCAAGGCUGGAUGGCCCUUCCAGGGCCUCCGGUUUGGCGGUGGCAUGCGACUAUCAUAUAAGAAGUGGUUACCAUAUCCUUUUGAAAGAUGCAGCGGGCAAAAAAUAACUUGUUGCUAAAUGGCUAGCAAGACCGUUCGGACCGAAUAAAUCUCAAGAAACUGUAAAGGAUGAUUCAGGUAUAGAGAGCGGCAUAACUAAUGUUUGUAUGGUUCUUUUGAGCUUUCCUUUUCAACGUGCAUGCAUUACGAGCUGUCAGCAGCCUAGCUAGGUGGAGGCGUGAAUCGAGCUAAGGCUGGUGGUGCGGAAGCGAGCGUGAGUCGCAAGUGCAGGUGGGGGGAGUGGAGGUGAUGCUGCGAGUGCUGAGUGAAGGCUGGCAGCGUGGAAGCGAGUGUGGGUCACGGGCGGAGCUAACGAAGUGCCGUUAAGACCACAAGCAUGGCUUCAGAGACAGUUCUCAUUGAGCGACGAUAAGCACAACUGAUGUAAAGAUGCCAAGGAUAAAUGGUUAUUGGGGAAGUUGCAUGUUGCUUUGCUAUAAUCCAUCAUAUUGAGGAUGUGAAUCAGAUCAGUUCAGCAAAUCCUGGAGGUGGACAUCCCCAAAUUGUUGAAGCGGCAUAUGCUUGGGGAUUGAACAUACUUAUGUGACAGCGCCACUUGACUUAUCUUAUGUGCCGUGUAACAUUGUGCCAGUUGGGUUUAUCUGCUGGUUUUGGGCCUCAAUUUAAGAAACAAGACAGUGAAGAUGUAUACCAUGACGAUAAUGAGCCAUAGUGGUGAGGAUGUUAUUUCCACUCAGUUAAAUGGUUCAGCAAGUGUGAAAUCUGCUGCUUUGAUGAAAGAAAGAGAGGGUACUGUAAUCGUCUCAAGUCUAAGCACCGCCUGACACUUGGAACAACUUUAUGUCUACAGAUCAUUAGAUCUCGUACAAGAUCGGAGAUGGAAUUGGUAUCGGCAGUUUUCUACUUCUCUAUCACCCCAUGAGCCUAGGUCUGGAAGAAUAUCUUCAGAAUCUAGAGGUGGAUACUGGAGGCUCAUUGGAUCGGCUGAGGUGGUUAUUUUCUUUAUUCUUUAUAUUCUCUGAUCACGCAUAAAUGCAGUCUAACUUCUGGAUUUUGUCAUUUUAGUGUGUUAAUCGAUCACGUAAUGACCUGUGCAAUUUAGUUCACGGUGCCAUGUUAAGUAUGGUCGAGUCAAUUAAAUAUAGGACACAUAUGAAAAAGAAACAAGUCUGCAUGGUAAAACAUAACCUUAGUACUUUA